rnacentral:piRNA from 1 species
UGAUCAUUUCUCUAGAGAUCUGGGUGUGGA